GAUGAAGAACGUAGCGAAAUGCGAUAAGUAAUGUGAAUUGCAGAAUUCAGUGAAUCAUCGAAUCUUUGAACGCACAUUGCGCCCGCCAGUAUUCUGGCGAGCAUGCCUGUUCGAGCGUCAUUUCAACCAUCAAGCCCCAGGCUUGUGUUGGAGCCCUGCGGCUGCCGCAGCCUCCCAAAACCAGUGGCGGGCUCGCUAUCACACCGAGUGCAGUAGUUUACUCUUCGCUCAGGGCGUGUGGCGGGUGAUAGCCGUGAAACCCCCAACUUCUCAAGGUUGACCUCGGAUCAGGUAGGAAUACCCGCUGAACUUAAGCAUAUCAAUAAGCGGAGGA
rnacentral:misc_RNA from 1 species